UGAAAAAUUCAGGUAAAACAACAAAACCCAAAUCAUGCUGUUAAAAUAGAGACCAGACAUAUAUUUCUUGUGCCGUCGUUUUUAAAGAAGACAGGACCUUUUUGAACGUGAAGCUGCUAAUUUGGGCUUGGUUUUCUUUCUGACUGAAACCCAGUGAUUCUCUCCCAGUUUCCAACAAUAAAGCAAAACACGAUUGCUGGUUUGUUCUUGCCAAGAGUUAACUCGGCACACCCCAAACACACUCACACCAGACCCCAGUGUUUUGCAUAAUUUUGUUGCAGCUUAUGUGCAAUGCCACUAUAAAUGCAUGCAUUGAUGCUGCUUACAAGCGGCCUCUGUUUUUACACAAUGUAUCGGGCUUUUUUUGGGCUUGUUUUCAUAGAGCUGGUUGAUCGUUUCUCUCGCGAGAUCUAGCAAUAUCGGUGACAGCAUUUGGGGAGUAAAUUCAGCAGCGAUGGGGAGUGAACUGCUGAACCCACACGCUGAGCUGGCAAUAAGGGUGGAGCCACAAAAUUUGGAAAAUUUAAAUGGCUAAACUUGGGAUAAAUGGUCCGCAAUACGCCACUCUAAAGAUAAAGCAAUCAAAAAUAUUUCAAAUAUUAAUAUUGCGGUUGAGAGUGUCUGCCCCAAAGGACCAAGGAUAACCGGCGAGGAAGAGGCCGACUAGUUAGCACACACUGGGCGACGUGGCUCUGGCAAAUGCUGCCAGCUAAUUAUUAGCUAUGUGCUAAUGUAGCUAAUAAAUAUACAAAACAUUUAUCUUGCUGACUUACAGAGACACUAUUAGAAACAUGAAAUAUUCCUCAAAUAACUGUAAAACUCUCAAAAGUCUGACGCGGGCAGUAAAGACGCCAUUAUUAAAUAACGUUUCUAGCACAGUUGGCUAACAAACUGCUUCUUACAGUGCUGUGUUAGCUACCAUUAAACUGGUGGGAUAGUACAUUAGGAAUUAACUACAUGUUUGAUUUAGUUAGACAACAUGGCAAUUACUUUUGAGUUAAUCGACACAUCAAAGCUGUUUCCAUUAUAGUUUGUUAUUUUGUCCAACUGUAAGGUGUUUGGCUAGCUUAGCAGGAGAACUUAGCUACUCAAUGACAUCACCAAUGUCGAAAAAACAAAAGUUUAUCAUCUUUCUCAUCAUUUCUACUCGCGAACAUUUUAAAAACGCCUUCACCUACUUAUUUAAAAUAAUAUAUCACUGUUAGUUUGUGAUGCUGAUGUGCAACUUUAUCUUGUCAGCGAGUGACAAGCUAACGCGAAGCUAGCUGAACAGUGAAACAGCGCCACCAAGCGGCAACUGGGCAGAAACAGCAAUAUGGAUGAAAUAAUAGAAUCACCAGACAGAAAACCCACUUUUUGUCAAUGACUUCGUCUGGAUUGCUGGCUUCUUUGGCAA